GUGCCAGUUGUUCUGCCAAGGGCAUGGCUGGUUGGCUACGUUCGGGAGGGAUAACCGCUGAAAGCAUCUAAGCGGGAAGCCUGCUUCGAGAUGAGUAUUCCCACCUCCUUGAGAGGGUAAGGCUCCCAGUAGACGACUGGGUUGAUAGGCCGGAUAUGGAAGCACGGUAACGUGUGGAGUUGACCGGUACUAAUAGGCCGAGGGCUUGUCCUC
rnacentral:rRNA from 1 species